rnacentral:misc_RNA from 1 species
UGACCCCAAACCUCUUCGGGGACGGUCAUCGUCACUGAAUCCACGGCACGCAACCCCAAUUUUGCCGAUAUACGGUCUUUUUGGCACACGGAUUCAUCCAACUCUCGACUCGCCUUUAUUGUGUGACGUCGUGGGUUUCGUGAUAUUAAUAUUCAGUUUUGGUGUAGUUAUUUAUUUGAUAAGCGGAGAAUUACGAUGUUAGCUGAUGUCGAAAACGACUUGGAGGACACUUCAUACCUCUGGAGAUGAAACUUUUUUCCACUUUUUCUUUCAUCCUGAUCUUGUACAGCCCUCAGCCUUUCUCGCUAGCACAACGACUGUUGCAUUCGAGAGCAUAUCAUUCUGACGAUGACGACGAUCAUGUCGAUUACCACUAUGAAGACAUGGACGACAAACUUCUUAAUCACAACGCUUCAGCAGAAAAAGGGCAGUAUGUGGGUGCCUUAUGCGAAUUUACCUGCAGCCCAAAAUUGCUUCACGUUUACUGCAAUCCCGUUACGGGUACUUGCGACUGUGAGAAGAAGUAUCCUGUUAAACUUAAUAAUCGCUAUGCAGGCUGUAGCAAGCCGAAACAACUGGGUGACCAAUGUUAUUACAAAGAAACCUGUCAGUUCACUGACCAACAUGCUUCCUGUAUCCAAGUCCACCACAACGCCGUUUGUCAGUGUGAAAAUGGGUACCAUACCGUUUCUUUACAGAAACCUUCGAAAAGAGUCUUCUGUGCAGAAGAUGUCGUUGUUAUAACAUCAGAUUUCUCCACUUUUGCCGGCGUAAUGUCGGGAAUCGCUAUUUUAUCCGGUCUUAUAUGUUUUGUACUGCACCUCUUCAACCAGAAUUUGUAUGGAACACGCCACAACAGGCACAGGUUCGGAAACGCCAAUCUACCACCUCCCAUCUUGUUCUCCAGCGAUCCAGGAUCGUUGCCUUUACCAAUUCUGGAUCGAAGUUCGACGUCCCGAGCAUCUAGCCAGCGAACGUACGCUAGUAUGCCGUCGCGACGGUCCAGUAGUGCGCCAGGGUUCCGUUCGGGGGCCACCUAUUCUAGAGCAGGCUCUCGUCGGCCGAGUAUAGCGUCGGUCCAUAGCGCCACUUCUAUCCGCAGCUAUAGUACUAGAAGAUACGAGAGGGAGCGGAAAGAAAAAGAGGAGAGGGAGCUAGAGCGUCGGUUUUCGAAACUAUCUAGCACGAACUCUACCAUUAGAAUUGCCCCCACACCCAGCCCCCAUUCUACCGACGAUCUGCUUCCCACUUUGGAGGAAGAUAGACCAAUGGUUAAAAUUUAUUCAUAGGUACAUUGUCACAUGCUUUCUCAAGGUCCACACAUAAAAUUGUUUAAAUAUAUUCCACCUUUAGCUACAAAAGAAGAUUCCACCACUAGCUUCCCUG